GAGUAGGGCGGGACACGUGGUAUCCUGUCUGAAUAUGGGGGGACCAUCCUCCAAGGCUAAAUACUCCUGACUGACCGAUAGUGAACCAGUACCGUGAGGGAAAGGCGAAAAGAACCCCGGCGAGGGGAGUGAAAAAGAACCUGAAACCGUGUACGUACAAGCAGUGGGAGCACGCUUAGGCGUGUGACUGCGUACCUUUUGUAUAAUGGGUCAGCGACUUAUAUUCUGUAGCAAGGUUAACCGAAUAGGGGAGCCGAAGGGAAACCGAGUCUUAACUGGGCGUUAAGUUGCAGGGUAUAGACCCGAAACCCGGUGAUCUAGCCAUGGGCAGGUUGAAGGUUGGGUAACACUAACUGGAGGACCGAACCGACUAAUGUUGAAAAAUUAGCGGAUGACUUGUGGCUGGGGGUGAAAGGCCAAUCAAACCGGGAGAUAGCUGGUUCUCCCCGAAAGCUAUUUAGGUAGCGCCUCGUGAAUUCAUCUCCGGGGGUAGAGCACUGUUUCGGCAAGGGGGUCAUCCCGACUUACCAACCCGAUGCAAACUGCGAAUACCGGAGAAUGUUAUCACGGGAGACACACGGCGGGUGCUAACGUCCGUCGUGAAGAGGGAAACAACCCAGACCGCCAGCUAAGGUCCCAAAGUCAUGGUUAAGUGGGAAACGAUGUGGGAAGGCCCAGACAGCCAGGAUGUUGGCUUAGAAGCAGCCAUCAUUUAAAGAAAGCGUAAUAGCUCACUGGUCGAGUCGGCCUGCGCGGAAGAUGUAACGGGGCUAAACCAUGCACCGAAGCUGCGGCAGCGACGCUUAUGCGUUGUUGGGUAGGGGAGCGUUCUGUAAGCCUGUGAAGGUGUGCUGUGAGGCAUGCUGGAGGUAUCAGAAGUGCGAAUGCUGACAUAAGUAACGAUAAAGCGGGUGAAAAGCCCGCUCGCCGGAAGACCAAGGGUUCCUGUCCAACGUUAAUCGGGGCAGGGUGAGUCGACCCCUAAGGCGAGGCCGAAAGGCGUAGUCGAUGGGAAACAGGUUAAUAUUCCUGUACUUGGUGUUACUGCGAAGGGGGGACGGAGAAGGCUAUGUUGGCCGGGCGACGGUUGUCCCGGUUUAAGCGUGUAGGCUGGUUUUCCAGGCAAAUCCGGAAAAUCAAGGCUGAGGCGUGAUGACGAGGCACUACGGUGCUGAAGCAACAAAUGCCCUGCUUCCAGGAAAAGCCUCUAAGCAUCAGGUAACAUCAAAUCGUACCCCAAACCGACACAGGUGGUCAGGUAGAGAAUACCAAGGCGCUUGAGAGAACUCGGGUGAAGGAACUAGGCAAAAUGGUGCCGUAACUUCGGGAGAAGGCACGCUGAUAUGUAGGUGAAGCGACUUGCUCGUGGAGCUGAAAUCAGUCGAAGAUACCAGCUGGCUGCAACUGUUUAUUAAAAACACAGCACUGUGCAAACACGAAAGUGGACGUAUACGGUGUGACGCCUGCCCGGUGCCGGAAGGUUAAUUGAUGGGGUCAGCGCAAGCGAAGCUCUUGAUCGAAGCCCCGGUAAACGGCGGCCGUAACUAUAACGGUCCUAAGGUAGCGAAAUUCCUUGUCGGGUAAGUUCCGACCUGCACGAAUGGCGUAAUGAUGGCCAGGCUGUCUCCACCCGAGACUCAGUGAAAUUGAACUCGCUGUGAAGAUGCAGUGUACCCGCGGCAAGACGGAAAGACCCCGUGAACCUUUACUAUAGCUUGACACUGAACAUUGAGCCUUGAUGUGUAGGAUAGGUGGGAGGCUU
rnacentral:rRNA from 1 species